CUCUGAUUCUCUCUGUGCUUGUGUGGAAAGCAGAAGCCUGCUCUGGCAGAGGAAGGGUGGUGCCCGGGCACGGGUCAUGGGAAAUGAGUGGGCAGCAGACUGAGGGAACUGAAGAAAACAGACAGAAGCAACACCUCCACUGAAAUGCACUGGGAAGGUCCGCACUCUGGGACCCGCUCACAUGGACCGGAGGGUCCCCAGCACUGCACGGGAUGCUUGGAUACUAACUCAAGUUCAACUCACAAGGCAUUCAUUGAACGCCCAUCAGGAGGCAGGUCUGGGCGCUGAGCGCAGAGUCUAUUGCUACGAAGCAGGGCUGCCACCUGCAAUAGCUAGAGCUCUGUUGUCUUGCAGAGGUGAAGAGAGUGGACCCAAUUGUCUGCAAAGUCCGUCAUCUUUGCAGUGGUAACCUAAGAGGAAAAAAAUCUUAAAGAGACAGCUCUGCAAAUGUUGCCACUCCGCACCACCUCCAACCGCAGGCAGGGCAGAGGGAAAGGCCUGACUGCAUCAGGAGGCAGAGGACUGGAAGCUCCUGAGAGAGAGCAGCGUUUCACAAGUGACUCACAAGGUACAUGGCUUCAGACACAGGCAGAGGAAGCAGUAGCAACCUUUUCCUCCAUGUGCUGUACAGGGCGCAUCAGUAAUUGUUUUCGCCACAGUCUGCCCUUGCCUUGCUCGUCUAAGCUCAUCAUUGUUCUUUUAUGUUCCUCGAACUGUCACCCCCUUUGAGUUUUUUAGGACUCCAUACAUCCGGGGAAAAUGCCCUUCAAACUAGGAUCUUUCAGGAUAAAGAAAAUUGACUCAGAGAUGGGCAGGCCCUCAGAGCCUGUUGAUUCCGAAUUCCAUUGUUCGUUGCUCAAACCAAAGUGCUUUCUUCCAUCAAGGCACUUUUUAACUCUGGGUGGGACUUGAUCUUUCUUUGAAUAUGGUCAUUAUCAAGACCAUUCGCUCCAUCUUUCUUUCACUGAUCCUACCAAUACUUCUUGAGUCCCUAGCGUGUGUCAGGUUCAGUUCUGGACAUGGAGGGUUGGUGUUGAACAAGACACGAAAGGUGCCGGCCCUCGGGAGAUUACACCCCGGCACAGGGAGACAGACCAUGAUGUGAAAUCAAAUAAAUGAACUGCAGAGAAAAUAAAACA
ensembl:lncRNA